rnacentral:sRNA from 1 species
UUUCUUAGAUGUUAUUUGGAUGAUCAGAUUGCUCAACUCCAUUAUAAUUUGUUUCCAAACUAAUCUGUUCAGGCAAGAUAAAGAUAUAAAUGUGGAUUGUUGCUGAGGUUAAGUCUGGUCAGAUUUUUCCACUUAUGCUUGAAAAGUAACCAUAUUUCAAUCGAAUAUAUAAUACGUAUAUUUCAUAAUAAUAUAAGCCAUAUUAGUCUCAUUAUUAAUUCAAAAAUUUCAUCUAUAUUUCAACACUGUAGAACAUUAUUAAAGGAAUAAAUGACCUAUAAAUAUUUGCUGCCUGAAGAAGUCACUUUGCUAUUAAUUAUAGGAAUAGAGUAUGGAAAUUUAUACUUUUAAAUUUUUCUCUAAACUUUGUCUCAUUUAUUAUUGUAUUUGGUAAAUGAGUUUCCACAGGCUCAGGGAGAUGAAUUAUUGUCUUAGAAUAAAUUUGUAUGAAUGCUGAGCCUACACCCAGGUAACCUAAUUCCUAAUAGGUUAUAUGCCAUGUAUCAGGAAAGGUAUUGCCUGUUUAUAUGAUGGACAUGUUAUAAAAGUUUUGAAAGUUUGAAUGUAAUAAUUUAUAAUAAAGUUUAAAGGGCUUGUCUCUGAAUAGAGUCUCAUUUUUUCAUUUAUUUCUUUUGUCUAGUUAUCUGUUGUCUUCUGGCAUUUUGUAUUGGCCUGAUAUUUGUGCAACGCUCUGGAAAUUACUUUGUUACAAUGUUUGAUGAUUAUUCUGCUACACUGCCUCUGCUAAUUGUAGUCAUUUUGGAGAAUAUUGCUGUAUGCUUUGUUUAUGGCAUAGAUAAGUUUAUGGAAGACCUAAAAGAUAUGCUGGGCUUUGCUCCCAGCAGAUAUUACUACUAUAUGUGGAAAUAUGUUUCUCCUCUAAUGCUAUUAUCAUUGCUAAUAGCUAGUGUUGUGAAUAUGGGAUUAAGUCCUCCUGGCUAUAAUGCAUGGAUUGAAGAUAAGGCAUCUGAAGAAUUUCUGAGCUAUCCAACGUGGGGACUGGUUGUUUGUGUCUCUCUGGUUGUCUUUGCAAUACUCCCGGUCCCUGUAGUCUUCAUUGUUCGUCGCUUCAACCUUAUAGAUGAUAGUUCUGGUAAUUUAGCAUCUGUGACCUAUAAGAGAGGAAGGGUCCUGAACGAGCCUGUGAACUUAGAGGGCGAUGAUACAAGCCUCAUUCAUGGAAAAAUAUCAAGCGAGAUGCCAUCUCCAAAUUUUGGUAAAAAUAUUUAUCGAAAACAGAGUGGAUCCCCAACUCUGGAUACUGCUCCCAAUGGACGGUACGGAAUAGGGUACUUGAUGGCAGAUAUUAUGCCAGAUAUGCCAGAAUCUGAUUUGUAGCUGGGGGAAAAGUCAGUGGGUUUUAUUUG